CCAGUUAAUAGGAGAGGGUAUACUUGUCUUUGCAUGUAAAUAAGGAGGUCAUAUUAGUCACUGGCUGAUGAGAAUUAGUUACGCAAUUAGUUAAUAUGAGCUGACUGAUUAGUUGAGCUGUUAGCUGGGCAGUUAGAAGGAGAGGAUUAAGACAUAUAGGGGAUUCAAUGUAAUGCUGAAACUGAUUUCCUCCUCCUCUAUCUCUAUUACGUUCUUGUUAUCGACUCCGUCACGACACUGGCCAGUCCACCAAAAAUCUGUUCAGGGACCAUUUCUGCAUUGGCCCCUUAGGAUUGUCUAUCUUUUAUGUUUGAGUUGUAACAAUGGUAUUAGAACCUUUCGGUUAUCUGACAGUAAUGACUAGCAUGGAAGAUGAUAUCAGCUCGGAGGAUGAUAUUCUAUGAAGAACUCAGAGAAGACAAUGACGACAUCAAGAAAUCCAUGAUUGACAUAGCUCGGAAGCAUGUUGAGGGAUGAUAUUCUAUGAACUCAGAGAAGACAAUGACAACAUCAAGAAAUCCAUGAUUGACAUAGCUCGGAAGCAUGUUGAGAGCUUGGAGGAGAUUAAAAGUAUGCCGGCAUUCUACCUUCCAGGAAC
rnacentral:lncRNA from 1 species